CACGUAGGACGCGAGCGUUAUCCGGAUUUACUGGGCGUAAAGAGCGCGUAGGCGGUCUCGCAAGUUGGGCGUGAAAGCCCCCGGCUUAACUGGGGAGGGUCGUUCAAUACUGCGGGACUGGAGGGUGGAAGAGGAGACUGGAAUUCCCGGUGUAGUGGUGAAAUGCGUAGAUAUCGGGAGGAACACCUGUGGCGAAGGCGAGUCUCUAGGCCACUUCUGACGCUGAGGCGCGAAAGCGUGGGGAGCGAACGGA
rnacentral:rRNA from 1 species